rnacentral:rRNA from 1 species
UACGGGGGGGCAAGCGUUGUUCGGAAUUACUGGGCGUAAAGGGCUCGUAGGCGGCCAACUAAGUCAGACGUGAAAUCCCCAGGCUUAACCUGGGAACUGCGUCUGAUACUGGAUGGCUUGAAUUCGGGAGAGGGAUGCAGAAUUCCAGGUGUAGCGGUGAAAUGCGUAGAUAUCUGGAGGAAUACCGGUGGCGAAGGCGGCAUCCUGGACCGACAUUGACGCUGAGGAGCGAAAGCUAGGGGAGCAAACGGG